AGCUGUUUCACGAGGAAAGAACAGCAGGCUUGGACAACCGAUGACAACUGCAACAAACAGGAGGCUGACAACAGAGACUCAAUGGUGUCCUCUCUGAGCUCCAGACGGCCUGACGAACAAGAACAGAGAGAAAUCAAGUAUCCUCCUCUCUCCAGCCACAAGGAUGACGUCGCACAGCUGUCUGGUCCUCAAGUAGCCCUCCAUCUUGCGGAAAGUCACAUCAGCAUGGGACAAAGCCGUGAACAUGCAGUCCUCUGGCUCCAUUGACACACAUGAAGACAGCGUUGCAGUGCUAUUGGAUGUCCUGUGAACGCAGGGCAAAGAGGAAAACAAAGUGCUGUUUCUCUGCUAUUCACAGGGGAGCAUACAAAAAGCCUUUUUUGGUGGUCUAGUUACAAGCAGCAAGAGGAGAGAUAAGUAUAGAACACUUAAAAAGAGAACAAGCCAAUUAAAAUCACAGCGGGAGCUGAGCUCAAUAAAUAUGCUGUAAUUUACCCCGUUUCAUUUAAUUGUAACCAGUUUUUAGCUCGAGUGCAGCAGUAACACAUCAAUGAAAAGACAUUCCAGGUAGGGUCAAAGCUGAAAAUAAAUAAAUAAAUAAACAAACAAACAAGCAAGCAAAGCUGGAUGUGUGAGUCUAUACCUCGGUUUUGUGUUUCUUAGAAACGAGCUACCCGAGAAUUUUCCACCAUCAUCGCUCCCAAAACGGCACUUAAUUUAUGACUCAGCACCGGACUUACAUUUUUUUUCAUUCGACAAAAGAAGUGUCAGGAUUGGCCCAGAAUAACAGAGAGCCAACACUGGAAAAAGUGGAACAACUGCUGUUCCACAGAUGGAAAAUAAAUAAAUCACUUUUAGGGGUUUUGAAGCUUCAUGAGUGUGUUGGGGAUCCAACAAACGGUGCCAAUUUUCCAUAUAUUAAAAUAAAUAGGGAAAGAAUGGAAACUCCCUCUGUGAGUAUUUGUUGAGAUUACAAUUAUUUAAAAAAAUACUUUAUUUUAAGCCUCUUUAAAUAUAUUUUUGUGAGCAAAAGUGAUAAAUUAAAUGUUUGUGCUAUAAAUCAAGCCACAUUUGCUGUUUAAUCUUGUUUUUUUU